rnacentral:rRNA from 1 species
AUUGAACGCUGGCGGCAGGCUUAACACAUGCAAGUCGAGCGGAGUGAUGGUGCUUGCACUAUCACUUAGCGGCGGACGGGUGAGUAAUGCUUAGGAAUCUGCCUAUUAGUGGGGGACAACAUCUCGAAAGGGAUGCUAAUACCGCAUACGUCCUACGGGAGAAAGCAGGGGAUCACUUGUGACCUUGCGCUAAUAGAUGAGCCUAAGUCGGAUUAGCUAGUUGGUGGGGUAAAGGCCUACCAAGGCGACGAUCUGUAGCGGGUCUGCGAGGAUGAGCGGCCGCACUGGGACUGAGGCACGGCCCAGACGCCUACGGGAGGCAGCAGUGGGGAAUAUUGGACAAUGGGGGGAACCCUGAUCCAGCCAUGCCGCGUGUGUGAAGAAGGCCUUAUGGUUGUAAGGCACUUUAAGCGAGGAGGAGGCUCUUUUGGUUAAUACCCAAGAUGAGUGGACGUUACUCGCAGAAUAAGCACCGGCUAACUCUGUGCCAGCAGCCGCGGUAA